GCCUGCUUAGCACAGUGGUAGUGCGUCUGCCUUGUAAGCAGAAGGUCAUGCGUUCAAUCCGCAUAGUAGGCA